rnacentral:tRNA from 1 species
GGCGACAUGGCCAAGCGGUAAGGCAGAAGCCUGCAAAGCUUUUACCCCCGGUUCGAAUCCGGGUGUCGCCU